rnacentral:misc_RNA from 1 species
GAGCAGUUGAGUCGUAUGUUCAAGGUAUGACCCAGACUUGCUCUUGAUUCCGAAAAUAUAUUAGCAAAAAGGACAAGUUUGGGGAAUUUGAGCUACUGACUGGGGUAAUUUAGGAUUUAUACUAGGAAAAUGAAGUUUUGAUGUGGUCUGGUACUCCUUUUUAUAUAUGCAUGGUUCCCUCUGUUGAAAAAUCCUCAAUAAAACCUUUUCUGAAUGAAUGGGAAUUGUAGCAUAGUCAUAAUAAACUAUCAUGAAAGAGAAAUAAGAAGUUUUGAUGGAGCUUCCUGAAUUGUUGCAUGAUUUCUUUCCUUUAUGCUGUUUUAUUAUUGUAACUAUGGAUUUGAAUUUGCAGCCUGACAUUAAGGCAAUUAAGA